rnacentral:tRNA from 1 species
CUUCCUGGUGGGCCGGGCGGCCUUCCAAACCAAGGUGUUGUU